rnacentral:rRNA from 1 species
GACGAACGCUGGCGGCGUGCUUAACACAUGCAAGUCGAACGGUGAAGGGAUCAGCUUGCUGAUUCUGGAUGAGUGGCGAACGGGUGAGUAACACGUGAGUAACCUGCCCCCUUCUUCUGGAUAACCGCAUGAAAGUGUGGCUAAUACGGGAUAUUCUGGGUCUGUCGCAUGGCGGGCCUGGGAAAGAUGCGCCUUUGGGUGUUUUUGGUGGGGGAUGGGCUCGCGGCCUAUCAGCUUGUUGGUGGGGUGAUGGCCUACCAAGGCGGUGACGGGUAGCCGGCCUGAGAGGGUGGACGGUCACACUGGGACUGAGACACGGCCCAGACUCCUACGGGAGGCAGCAGUGGGGAAUAUUGCACAAUGGGCGCAAGCCUGAUGCAGCGACGCCGCGUGAGGGAUGGAGGCCUUCGGGUUGUAAACCUCUUUCAGCAGGGACGAGGCGAAAGUGACGGUACCUGCAGAAGAAGCCCCGGCUAACUACGUGCCAGCAGCCGCGGUAAUACGUAGGGGGCAAGCGUUAUCCGGAUUCAUUGGGCGUAAAGCGCUCGUAGGCGGUCUGUUAGGUCGGGAGUUAAAUCCGGGGGCUCAACCCCCGCUCGCUCUCGAUACCGGCAGACUUGAGUUUGGUAGGGGAAGGUGGAAUUCCUAGUGUAGCGGUGGAAUGCGCAGAUAUUAGGAAGAACACCAGUGGCGAAGGCGGCCUUCUGGGCCAUAACUGACGCUGAGGAGCGAAAGCUAGGGGAGCAAACAGGAUUAGAUACCCUGGUAGUCCUAGCCCGUAAACGAUGGACACUAGGUGUUGGGGGAGUAUUUCUUUCGGUGCCGCAGCUAACGCAUUAAGUGUCCCGCCUGGGGAGUACGGCCGCAAGGCUAAAACUCAAAGGAAUUGACGGGGGCCCGCACAAGCAGCGGAGCAUGUGGUUUAAUUCGAAGCAACGCGAAGAACCUUACCAGGGCUUGACAUUUAGGUGAAGCGGCGGAAACGUCGUGGCCGAAAGGAGCCUAAACAGGUGGUGCAUGGCUGUCGUCAGCUCGUGUCGUGAGAUGUUAGGUUAAGUCCUGCAACGAGCGCAACCCUCGUCGUAUGUUGCCAGCGGUUAGGCCGGGCACCCAUACGAGACCGCCGGCGUCAAGCCGGAGGAAGGUGGGGACGACGUCAAGUCAUCAUGCCCCUUAUGUCCUGGGCUACACACGUGCUACAAUGGCCGGCACAAUGGGCUGCCAACCCGCGAGGGUGAGCGAAUCCCUAAGGCCGGUCCCAGUUCGGAUUGGAGGCUGCAACUCGCCUCCAUGAAGUCGGAGUUGCUAGUAAUCGCGGAUCAGCACGCCGCGGUGAAUGCGUUCCCGGGCCUUGUACACACCGCCCGUCACACCACCCGAGUCGAUUGCACCCGAAGUCGUCGGCCUAACCUUUUAGGAGGGAGACGCCGAAGGUGUGGUUGGUAAGGGGGGUG